rnacentral:tRNA from 1 species
GGGCAUUUGGUCUAGUUGUAUGAUUCUCGCUUUGGGUGUGAGAGGUCCCGAGUUCAAUUCUCGGAACGCCCC